GCCGAGUUCCUCCCAGCCGGCGCGCAGGCGCACGGGGGAGGGAGGAACACGGAGCCGGGAAGGAACGCUCGCGCGCCGGGUCCCGGUGCGCAGGCGCGCAGUUGUGCGGGGAGCUGACCGCGGGGCGGGCGCUCAGUCAGGCUUGGGGCUCUGCGCGUGCGGGGGCAGGGACAGCCUCCAGCCCCUCGAGCAGGGGUCCCAGGCGCCGGUCUGGAAGAAGAAAAGAGAGAAAGGAGGAUAUUCAGAAGCUAAGCAAGCCCUCACUUUACACAGUUGCCAACAAUUACAGUGGAAGAUGUGCUAGCUCAAGGGCUAACCUUACCAUCCAUUUGAAAUGAUUUUUGGAAUUUUGACAAAUUACUUCUCAAACUUCGAGAUUCUGAGACAGGCUAUAUACUACAGGUGUCAUGGAAACCACUCACACUUCAUUUUAGAAAAUACUUCAGCUGAAAAGAGAAUGACUCAGGAUAACUCUCUUAAAAGGAUGCUCGAUUUAAAUGGUCAUUAAAACUUUUUUCUUUUCAAGAAAACAGGAUCAUUAAGAGUCACAGCUAAGAUUUCACUGUAUACUGUAGUUAACUAGUGGAAGGGGAUUGGUGGAAUGAACUACUAAAAUGGAUCUGUGUUUUCCCCACCACACAAGAUGAUUUAAACACAUACCCAAGCAUAAA